rnacentral:lncRNA from 1 species
GAGAAGAGGGUGAGAGCUUAAAAAAGAGAGAGAGUGGGGAAAGAGUUCUGGACCUGAGAAAGUUCUGUGUGUUGGGAGAGAAAGGAAAAGAAAGAAGAGAGGAAAAAAAAUAGAAAAAAGAAACAGAGGAAAGAGUGAAGGAGACGGAGGUUUUGAGAGAUUUUCUGGUUGUAGAGGGAGUAGUUUCUUGUUCGUGCUGUUGAAGGGGAA